GACAACAGGUCCUCUAUAGAGAAUUGUUUAAAUAUGGCUGUGGUUGUCUCAGUAAAGUCACUUGACAAUUACAGAAUUAUACAAGAGAAGAAACGUUACAUCAUCCACUGAAUUUGAACGCUAAGUUUUCAACAAAAGUUGAGCCUCAAUGCCUUUUUCGCUUAGCGUUUUGAGUAACAUGGGCACAACAACAACAAAAAAAUGAGGUUAGGAAGAGGUUCCCCUGAAGUGGCAAUUUCAUUAAGGACAGAAAAGGCCUUUUCUUUCCACCUUAACUGGGAAGUGCUAUGCACAUUAAUCUGAAACAUUAGGGUAUGGGCAUUUUGUUACCAUGUGAAUGACAAAUUAGAAGGAUUUAGAUAAUAGCUCCAAGGUACUUAAAAGGUACAGAAGGGAUGUUAGCCUCUCAAGUUAUACUCUUAAUGCACCACUGAAAGGCAUUCAGCUACUAAAUGUGGGUACAGUUACUAUUCUGCAAGAGAAAUAAUUGGGAGCACCGAGAUGAAAUUCAGUUUUUCUCAAUACAUUGUAAGCAGCCUAUUCUUUUCAUAAAGGUGAAUGCUUUUACAGGUAAUUAUUCUAGACAAGGUAAGCAAGCACUUGCAGAACAGUGUAGUUUACAUCUAUGAAUUAGAGGCUUAUACAAGUAGACUUUUUAUACAAGCGCAAAUGCGUCUUCAUAGAAUGUAUUGUAGGUCAAAGCGACUCCAUUGCACGGCUUUUGUUUUGAUAAGGCCAAAAAGGGUACUGCAAAAGAGAAGAUUAUUUCAGCCUUUGCCUGGGUCUGACAGCAAAAGGUUUCUACCUGCAGAGAUGUCUGAACACUAAUAUAAGACCAAGAUUUUAUUUCCACAGUGGACAAGUAUCUGUUGGUCAAGAAUUGACCCAAGUGGCACAACUGGCUAAAUGCUGGUCCUUACACUGUUCCGGUACUCUGGCAAGGGGGUUUGCAUCUCAACCCUCCAAAUAUCUUGCUACAAUGAACAUUAAAACAUGUUUUAAAUACUUCAACUAGGAUACAUAGCCAUGUGACUCUUCCCCAGGUUACUACAAACAUCUCCCUACUGCUGUCAACUUAAGUUGCAUCUCCCAAGCAACAGCCCUUUGCCUGAAUUUCUAAAUUACUUGUAUACUUUUAAGACAACAAAACAGACCAAUGGGAACACAUCAUGUCAUGCUUUUAGUACUAAAACCUUAAGGAGUAAGACACAGCCUGCCUGCCAGGCAGCCUUCUGUUUGUCAAUCACAAAUACUAUGAUACCUGUAAGUGUCACCUACUUAAGACAGCCCCUUUACAUUCCCUUUGUUCUCCAGGUGAUAGCUUCAAUUAAAAAAACCCCAAACAUCCAGGAAGUCUUAAGGUCACAUUUCUUCAAGUCGUGCAAGAUUCCAAAAUAUCCUACAUGUUCCCCAACUCAGCAGCUUUAUAAUUUUUCUCCUAUUUGUAGGCCAUUUUGGGGCAAAUAUUUAUGCAUUUUAAAUAUUUCAGAAGUCAAUCAAUUUGGCUCAUCUUAGCUACUAGUGCUUCAGGGAGGGUACACAAUGCCAAACUUAUUACUAUUAAACUGGCCUGGUGAGAUGAGACAUUCUCAGUAAGUCACAACCGCAAAAGCUUAGUAAGAUUAACUGCAAUUCCUCUAACUCAUAAUGCUGGAUAAACCACUAAUGUUUUAAAAAUGAAGCAGCACUCUGGAAAUAGCAAGCUGAUUUUGUGCACGUGCAUAUGUGUAUGCACACAUCGGAUCACGCGCAGCCCAGAUUAUAAGACCUGCUAUGAUAUGAGUCACAUAACCUCUAGUCCAUCCACACUGCAGUCUAUCUGUAACCCUCCUACAUUUCCAACUUUAACUCAGUUACCCUUAAAUUCAACAUAAAAUCUCCACUGUUUAGUCCAUACUGUUCAUUACUAUGAAACCUAAUGAUAGCCAUAUCAUUAGCCCAACACAGCCCAACUGCAUGUCAAAGAUCAGAGUUAAGGUUCUGCAAGUGUUUUUUUGGGAGCAUUCUUUACCCUAUAGAUGCAGAAUGAGCAGACCUAGAGUGCUGUUAAAGAGAAGGUAGCCAGUGAGAGUAUAUCACUGUAUAAAAUAGCAGGCAGCAUAAGCAAGACUUCAGAAACACUGAGGUAAAAACAUGUUUGAGCUUUUGAGAAGUUACAGAUGUGGUUCCACACUCAGACACUGAUAACAUCACUGCAAUACUGGAGAUCUUAAGGAUUUACACAAAAAGAAAAAAAGAACACCAUUCUAACGCUAUAGAGUCAAAAACUCCCACUAAUUCCUAUAAUAUGAACCAGAACUAAAGCUAUCUACAUGCUUUUAGUUACUAUCUCUUGAACAGACAGGCAAGAAAUUUCAGGAGGCACAGUUCUUUGCAUUUUUAUCCAAGAAAAAAGCUUCAUGUUAAAUUUUACCUUAUCCAAGGAUCAUUCUGUGCAAUCUCAGGGAGAUAGAGUCAAACAAUGGAAAAAUUAUUCAAACCAACAGUGCUCAAUCUUUCCAAACGGAAAGCUUUCCAUUUUUAUUCCAAUGGCAGAGGUGGGCUGUGCUGCAGCUCUCCUCUUGCCGUACAAGACCUAAUUGCACACAAUCCUGUCUUGUCAGGCAGUAUCAGAACUGGAAAUCGCUAUCUGUGCUUCUUAGCAUACAUAAUAACAUUACCUGGAUCAGAGGAGGCCUAGAGAAAGGGCUGGGAGCUGGCUACUACCAUCUUUAUCUCGACCCUUUCCUCCUGAGGGCAGGCUAGGUGAGCUGUUGGGAGGUCCACUGGAUGAUCUCCAUUGGAGCAUAUAAAAAUGAAAACUUUGAGACCAACAUGUGGAAUUAUUUCCAUUUCUUGGUGUCUGCCAGAAACCUGAAAGCUUUUGUGCUUUCAAAACUUGACUAAUACACUUCCUGUGAAAUCUAACUUAUCCCCCCCGAGUUGGUAGCAGUUUUUCAUUUAUGUGGAAGAAGUUCGUCUGCUUGAAAUACAGCAAUAGUGCUACUGGGGGAAGCUGGAUAGGUGAGGUAGACUUCACUGAGGCUUUGAACGUUUGGGCUUUUACGUUUUAGAAGUGACUGAAUUAUUUUUGAGAACUUGUUAAUACUGAAGUUUGUUUUGACCCUUGAAGCCUUAUGGGCAGACUCAUCAGGAACUAAAGACCAGCCUUGGCAGUCAGUCUGGAAAUCUAUUUUAAAUGGCAAUAAUAGCCAAGAUCUUGAACCUGUAUCAUUCAUGGCUAUUCUCCAGUUGGAAAGAGGUAAUAGUAGUAUUGGCUACUACCAAGGAAUUCGUAGCAGCCAGUCGGGUAAGAAGGCUGCUGGUCUUGGCAACUUUCUUCUGGAUGGUAUAGACUAAAUCUGGCUUCUAGAAGUGAUACUCUGAUUUCACUUAUUUCAAGCAAGUCGCUUAAUGUUCAGCUUGGGCAAAUCAUUGUUAAUUUUCACCCAGUUUGCAGGCUUAUCCCAUACCUGCUAUGUAUUUAGUCGUUCACUUUGCUCAGACCAGAGAC